AGGACGAACGCUGGCGGCGUGCUUAACACAUGCAAGUCGAGCGGAAAGGCCCUUCGGGGUACUCGAGCGGCGAACGGGUGAGUAACACGUGAGCAACCUGCCCCUGGCUCUGGGAUAGCCUCCGGAAACGGGGAUUAAUACCGGACAUGACUCCUGACCGCAUGGUUGGGGGUGGAAAGUUUUUCGGCCAGGGUGGGCUCGCGGCCUAUCAGCUUGUUGGGGGGGUGACGGCCCACCAAGGCGACGACGGGUAG
rnacentral:rRNA from 1 species